UCUGGAAAGUGCGGCCAUAGUGGGUGAUAGCCCCGUACGCGAAAGGAUCUUUGAAGUGAAAUCGAGUAGGACGGAGCACGAGAAACUUUGUCUGAACAUGGGGGGACCAUCCUCCAAGGCUAAAUACUACUGACUGACCGAUAGUGAACCAGUACCGUGAGGGAAAGGCGAAAAGAACCCCGGAGAGGGGAGUGAAAUAGAACCUGAAACCGUAUGCGUACAAGCAGUGGGAGCCUACUUGUUAGGUGACUGCGUACCUUUUGUAUAAUGGGUCAGCGACUUAUAUUCAGUGGCAAGCUUAACCGUAUAGGGUAGGCGUAGCGAAAGCGAGUCUUAAUAGGGCGUUUAGUCGCUGGGUAUAGACCCGAAACCGGGCGAUCUAUCCAUGAGCAGGUUGAAGGUUAGGUAACACUGACUGGAGGACCGAACCCACUCCCGUUGAAAAGGUAGGGGAUGACUUGUGGAUCGGAGUGAAAGGCUAAUCAAGCUCGGAGAUAGCUGGUUCUCCUCGAAAGCUAUUUAGGUAGCGCCUCAUGUAUCACUCUGGGGGGUAGAGCACUGUUUCGGCUAGGGGGUCAUCCCGACUUACCAAACCGAUGCAAACUCCGAAUACCCAGAAGUGCCGAGCAUGGGAGACACACGGCGGGUGCUAACGUCCGUCGUGAAAAGGGAAACAACCCAGACCGCCAGCUAAGGUCCCAAAGUUGUGGUUAAGUGGUAAACGAUGUGGGAAGGCUUAGACAGCUAGGAGGUUGGCUUAGAAGCAGCCAUCCUUUAAAGAAAGCGUAAUAGCUCACUAGUCGAGUCGGCCUGCGCGGAAGAUGUAACGGGGCUCAAACCACACACCGAAGCUGCGGGUGUCACGUAAGUGACGCGGUAGAGGAGCGUUCUGUAAGCCUGUGAAGGUGAGUUGAGAAGCUUGCUGGAGGUAUCAGAAGUGCGAAUGCUGACAUGAGUAACGACAAUGGGUGUGAAAAACACCCACGCCGAAAGACCAAGGGUUCCUGCGCAACGUUAAUCGACGCAGGGUUAGUCGGUUCCUAAGGCGAGGCUGAAAAGCGUAGUCGAUGGGAAACAGGUUAAUAUUCCUGUACUUCUGGUUACUGCGAUGGAGGGACGGAGAAGGCUAGGCCAGCUUGGCGUUGGUUGUCCAAGUUUAAGGUGGUAGGCUGAAAUCUUAGGUAAAUCCGGGGUUUCAAGGCCGAGAGCUGAUGACGAGUCGUCUUUUAGAUGACGAAGUGGUUGAUGCCAUGCUUCCAAGAAAAGCUUCUAAGCUUCAGGUAACCAGGAACCGUACCCCAAACCGACACAGGUGGUCGGGUAGAGAAUACCAAGGCGCUUGAGAGAACUCGGGUGAAGGAACUAGGCAAAAUGGCACCGUAACUUCGGGAGAAGGUGCGCCGGCUAGGGUGAAGGAUUUACUCCGUAAGCUCUGGCUGGUCGAAGAUACCAGGCCGCUGCGACUGUUUAUUAAAAACACAGCACUCUGCAAACACGAAAGUGGACGUAUAGGGUGUGACGCCUGCCCGGUGCCGGAAGGUUAAUUGAUGGGGUUAGCGCAAGCGAAGCUCUUGAUCGAAGCCCCGGUAAACGGCGGCCGUAACUAUAACGGUCCUAAGGUAGCGAAAUUCCUUGUCGGGUAAGUUCCGACCUGCACGAAUGGCGUAACGAUGGCGGCGCUGUCUCCACCCGAGACUCAGUGAAAUUGAAAUCGCUGUGAAGAUGCAGUGUAUCCGCGGCUAGACGGAAAGACCCCGUGAACCUUUACUGUAGCUUUGCACUGGACUUUGAGCCUGCUUGUGUAGGAUAGGUGGGAGGCUUUGAAGCGUGGACGCCAGUUCGCGUGGAGCCAUCCUUGAAAUACCACCCUGGCAUGCUUGAGGUUCUAACUCUGGUCCGUGAUCCGGAUCGAGGACAGUGUAUGGUGGGCAGUUUGACUGGGGCGGUCUCCUCCUAAAGAGUAACGGAGGAGUACGAAGGUGCGCUCAGACCGGUCGGAAAUCGGUCGCAGAGUAUAAAGGCAAAAGCGCGCUUGACUGCGAGACAGACACGUCGAGCAGGUACGAAAGUAGGUCUUAGUGAUCCGGUGGUUCUGUAUGGAAGGGCCAUCGCUCAACGGAUAAAAGGUACUCCGGGGAUAACAGGCUGAUACCGCCCAAGAGUUCAUAUCGACGGCGGUGUUUGGCACCUCGAUGUCGGCUCAUCACAUCCUGGGGCUGAAGCCGGUCCCAAGGGUAUGGCUGUUCGCCAUUUAAAGUGGUACGCGAGCUGGGUUUAGAACGUCGUGAGACAGUUCGGUCCCUAUCUGCCGUGGACGUUUGAGAUUUGAGAGGGGCUGCUCCUAGUACGAGAGGACCGGAGUGGACGAACCUCUGGUGUUCCGGUUGUCACGCCAGUGGCAUUGCCGGGUAGCUAUGUUCGGAAAAGAUAACCGCUGAAAGCAUCUAAGCGGGAAACUUGCCUCAAGAUGAGAUCUCACUGGGAACUUGAUUCCCCUGAAGGGCCGUCGAAGACUACGACGUUGAUAGGCUGGGUGUGUAAGCGUUGUGAGGCGUUGAGCUAACCAGUACUAAUUGCCCGUGAGGCUUGACCAU
rnacentral:rRNA from 1 species